CAAUAAGCGGAGGAAAAGAAACCAACAGGGAUUGCCUCAGUAACGGCGAGUGAAGCGGCAACAGCUCAAAUUUGAAAUCUGGCCGCAAGGUCCGAGUUGUAAUUUGUAGAGGAUGCUUUUGGCGAGGUGACUUCCGAGUUCCCUGGAACGGGACGCCAUAGAGGGUGAGAGCCCCGUACGGUAGUGACACCGAGCCUCUGUAAAGCUCCCUCGACGAGUCGAGUAGUUUGGGAAUGCUGCUCUAAAUGGGAGGUGUAAGUCUUCUAAAGCUAAAUACCGGCCAGAGACCGAUAGCGCACAAGUAGAGUGAUCGAAAGAUGAAAAGCACUUUGAAAAGAGAGUUAAAAAGUACGUGAAAUUGUUGAAAGGGAAGCAUUUAUGACCAGACUUGGGCUUGGUUGAACAUCCGGCGUUCUCGCCGGUGCACUCUGCCAGCCUAGGCCAGCAUCAGUUCACGCCGGGGGACAAAGGUAGCGGGAAUGUGACUCCCUCCGGGGAGUGUUAUAGCCCGUUGCGCAAUGCCCUGGGGUGGACUGAGGAACGCGCUUCGGCACGGAUGCUGGCG
rnacentral:rRNA from 1 species